rnacentral:rRNA from 1 species
GAUGAACGCUGGCGGCGUGCCUAAUACAUGCAAGUCGAGCGAACAGAUGAGGAGCUUGCUCCUCUGACGUUAGCGGCGGACGGGUGAGUAACACGUGGAUAACCUACCUAUAAGACUGGGAUAACUUCGGGAAACCGGAGCUAAUACCGGAUAAUAUAUUGAACCGCAUGGUUCAAUAGUGCAUGACGGUUUUGCUGUCACUUAUAGAUGGAUCCGCGCCGCAUUAGCUAGUUGGUAAGGUAACGGCUUACCAAGGCAACGAUGCGUAGCCGACCUGAGAGGGUGAUCGGCCACACUGGAACUGAGACACGGUCCAGACUCCUACGGGAGGCAGCAGUAGGGAAUCUUCCGCAAUGGGCGAAAGCCUGACGGAGCAACGCCGCGUGAGUGAUGAAGGUCUUCGGAUCGUAAAACUCUGUUAUUAGGGAAGAACAAAUGUGUAAGUAACUAUGCACGUCUUGACGGUACCUAAUCAGAAAGCCACGGCUAACUACGUG